rnacentral:rRNA from 1 species
UACGAAGGGGGCUAGCGUUGUUCGGAAUUACUGGGCGUAAAGGGCGCGUAGGCGGCCUCGUCCGUCCGGCGUGAAAUGCCUGGGCUCAACCUAGGAAUUGCGCUCGAUACAGCGAGGCUAGAGUGUGGGAGAGGUUGGUGGAAUUCCCAGUGUAGAGGUGAAAUUCGUAGAUAUUGGGAAGAACACCGGUGGCGAAGGCGGCCAACUGGACCACAACUGACGCUGAGGCGCGAAAGCGUGGGGAGCGAACAGG